AUGGUUGCUGCUGUGGUCGUGCCCGAUGCAGUUGCUGGCAAUGCUGAUGUCACUGGUAAAAAUGUAGAAGCUUUGGGUGUAGUAGCCGACUCUACUAAGCCUGUUGUUGUUGUCACUGUAUUUUCUGUUGUAGUUAUCCUGAUUGUUUUCUGUUCAUUGCUAACAGUUGCUGAUGUGGUUUUGUCCAGUGCAGUUGCAUGCAAAGCUGAUGUUACUGGUGCAAAUGUAGAAGUUCUUGCUGUAGUAGCAGACACUAUUCGGCCUGUUGUUGUUGUCACUGUAUUUCCAGUUGUAGCUAUCCUGAUUGUUUCCGGUUCAUUGCUAACAGUUGCUGAUGUGGUUGUGCCCAAUGCAGUUGCUGGCAAUGCUGAUGUCACCGGUGCAAAUGUAGAAGCUUUGGGUGUAGUAGCAGACUCUACUAGAACUGUUGUUGUUGUCACUGUAUUUUCUGUUGUAGUUAUACUGAUUGUUUCCGGUACAUUGCUAAUAGUUGCUGAUGUGGUUGUGCCCAAUGCAGUUGCAUGUAAAGCAGAUGUCACUGGUACAAACGUAGAAGCUUUAGUUGUAGUAGUAGACUCUACUAGGCCUGUUGUCAUUGUCAAUGUAUCUUCUGUGGUAGCUAUCCUGAUUGUUUCCGGUUCAUUGCUAACAGUUGCUGAUGUGGUUGUGCCCAAUGCAGUUGCCGGCAAAGCUGAUGUUACUGGUGCAAAUGUAGAAUUUUUUGCUGUAGAAGCAGACACUUUUUGGCCUGUUGAUGUUGUCACUGUAUUUUCUGUUGUAGUUAUGCUGACUGUUUCCGGUACAUUGCUAACAGUUGCUGAUGUGGUUGUGCCCAAUGCAGUUGCAUGUAAAGCAGACGUCACAGGUACAAAUGUAGAAGCUUUAGGUGUAGAAGCAGACUCUACUAGGCCUGUUGUCAUUGUCACUGUAUCUUCUGUUGUAGUUAUCCUGAUUGUUUCUGGCUCAUUGCUAACAGUUGCUGAUGUGGUUAUGCCCAAUGCAGUUGCUGGCAAUGCUGAUGUCACCGGUACCAAGGUAGAAGCUUUGGGUGUAGUAGCAGACUCUACUAGGCCUGUUGUUGUUGACACUGUAUUUUCUGUUGCAGUUAUCCUGAUUGUUUCCGGUUCAUUGUUAACAAUUGCUGAUGUGGCUGUGCCCAAUGCAGUUGCUGGCAAGGCUGAUGUCACUUGUAGAAAUGUAGAAGCUUUGGGUGUAGUAGCCGAAUCUACUAGGUCUGUUGUUGUUGUCACUGUAUUUCCUGUUGUAGCUAUCCUGAUUGUUUCCGGUUCAUUGCUAACAGUUGCUGAUGUGGUUGUGCCCAAUGCAGUUGCCGGCAAAGCUGAUGUUGCUGGUGCAAAUGUAGAAGUUUUUGCUGUAGAAGCAGACACUAUUCGGCCUGUUGAUGUUGUCACUGUAUUUUCUGUUGCAGUUAUCCUGAUUGUUUCCAGUCCAUUGCUAACAGUUGCUGAUGUGGUUGUGCCCAAUGCAGAUGCUGGCAAAGCUGAUGUUACUGGUGCAAAUGUAGAAGUUUUUGCUGUAGUAGCAGACACUAUUCGGCCUGUUGAUGUUGUCCCUGUAUUUCCAGUUGUAGCUAUCCUGAUUGUUUCCUGUUCAUUGCUAAGAGUUGCUGAUGUGGUUGUGCCCAAUUCAGUUUCUGACAAAGCUGAUGUUAAUGGUGCAAAUGUAGAAGUUUUUGCUGUAGUAGCAGACACUAUUCGGCCUGUUGUUGUUGUCACUGUAUUUUCUGUUGUAGUUAUACUGAUUGUUUCCGGUACAUUACUAACAGUUGCUGAUGUGGUUGUGCCCAAUGCAGUUGCAUGUAAAGCAGAUGUCACUGGUACAAAUGUAGAAGCUUUGGGUGUAGUAGCAGACUCUACUAGGCCUGUUGUCGUUGUCACUGUAUCUUCUGUUGUAGUUAUUCUGAUUGUUUCUGGCUCAUUGAUAACAGUUGCUGAUGUGGUUGUGCUCAAUGCAGAUGCUGGCAAAGCUGAUGUUACUGGUGCAAAUGUAGAAGUUUUUGCUGUAGUAGCAGACACUAUUCGGCCUGUUGUUGUUGUCACUGUAUUUCCUGUUGUAGCUAUCCUGAUUGUUUCCGGUUCAUUGCUAACAGUUGCUGAUGUGGUUGUGCCCAAUGCAGUUGCUGGCAAAGCUGAUGUUACUGGUGCAAAUGUAGAAGUUUUUGCUGUAGAAGCAGACACUAUUCGGCCUGUUGAUGUUGUCACUGUAUUUUCUGUUGUAGUUAUGCUGAUUGUUUCCGGUACAUUGCUAACAGUUGCUGAUGUGGUUGUGCCCAAUGCAGUUGCAUGUAAAGCAGAUGUCACAGGUACAAAUGUUGAAGCUUUGGGUGUAGAAGCAGACUCUACUAGGCCUGUUGUUGUUGUCACUGUAUCGUCUGUUGUAGUUAUCCUGAUUGUUUCCUGUUCAUUGCUAAGAGUUACUGAUGUGGUUGUGCCCAAUGCAGUUGCUGGAAAAGCUGAUGUUACUGGUGCAAAUGUAGAAGUUUUUGCUGUAGAAGCAGACACUAUUCGGCCUGUUGAUGUUGUCACUGUAUUUUCUGUUGUAGUUAUACUGAUUGUUUCCGGUACAUUGCUAACAGUUGCUGAUGUGGUUGUGCCCAAUGCAGUUGCUGGCAAAGCUGAUGUCACUGGUAAAAAUGUAGAAGCUUUGGGUCUAGUAGCAGACUCUACUAGACCUGUUGUUGUUGUCACUGUAUCUUCUUUUGUAGUUAUCCUGAUAGUUUCUGGCUCAUUGCUAACCGUUGCUGGUGUGGUUGUGCCCAAUGCAGUUGCUGGCAAUGCUGAUGUCACCCGUACCAAGGUAGAAGCUUUGGGUGUAGUAGCAGACUCUACUAGGCCUGUUGUUGUUGUCUCUGUAUUUUCUGUUGCAGUUAUCCUGAUUGUUUCCAGUCCAUUGCUAACAGUUGCUGAUGUGGUUGUGCCCAAUGCAGUUAGUGGCAAAGCUGAUGUCACUGGUGCAAAAGUAGAAGCUUUGGGUCUAGUAGCAGACUCUGCUAGAACUGUUGUUGUUGUCACUGUAUCUUCUGUUGUAGUUAUCCUGAUUGUUUCUGGUUGGUUGCUAACAGUUGCUGAUGUGCUUGUGUCCAAUGCAGUUGACGGCAAUGCUGAUCUCAGUGGUACAAAAGUAGAAUCUUUGGGUGUAGUAGCAGACUCUUUUAGGCCUGUUAUUGUUGUCACUGUAUCUUCUAUUGUAGUUAUCCUGAUUGUUUCUGGCUCAUUGCUAACAGUUGCUGAUAUGGUUGUGCCCAAUGCAGUUGCUGGCAAUGCUGAUGUCACUGGUAAAAUUGUGGAAGCUUUGGGUGUAGUAGCAGACUCUUUUAGGCCUGUUGUUGUUGUCACUGGAUCUUCUGUUGUAGUUAUCCUGAUUUUUUCUGGCUCAUUGCUAACAGUUGCUGAUGUGGUUGUGCCCAAUGCAGUUGCUGGCAAAGUUGAUGUCACUUGUAGAAAUGUAGAAGCUUUGGGUGUAGUAGCAGACUCUACUUGGCCUGUUGAUAUUGUCACUGUAUCUUCUAUUGUAGUUAUCCUGAUUGUUUCUGGCUCAUUGCUAACAGUUCCUGAUAUGGUUGUGCCCAAUGCAGUUGCUGGCAAUGCUGAUGUCACUGGUAAAAUUGUGGAAGCUUUGGGUGUAGUAGCAGACUCUACUAGACCUGUUGUUGUUUUCACUGUAUCUUCUGUUGUAGUUAUCCUGAUUGUUUCCGGCUCAUUGCUAACAGUUGCUGAUGUGGUUGUGCCCAGUGCAGUUGUUGGCAAUGCUGAUGUCACCUGUACAAAUGUAGAAGCUUUGGGUGUAGUAGCAGACUCUAUUAGGCCUGUUGUUGUUGUCGCUGUAUCUUCUGUUGUAGUUAUUCUGAUUGUUUCUCGCUCUUUGCUAACAGUUGCUGAGGUGGUUGUGCCUAUUGCAGUUGCUGGAAAUGCUGAUGUUGAUUCUAUUGAUGUUAACAUAGUUGCACUUCUUGUCUCUGCAGCUGUAAAUAUAUCAUUAGAUGAUGGUAUUUUUGUUGUUGGUGAUGCUGUUUCUGUUUCAGACACUGUUGUUUUACUUGGUGUUAUUGGAUCAGUUUUGGCUGUUAAAAGUUCUGUUGUGACUUGAGGAGAUGAUGCAGAUUGUAAUGCACUGAUUGUCACUGCCUCUGUUGUAGCUACUGUUUGUGUAGGCUGAAGUGUUGCCAUUACCCCUAUAGGUAUCAAAUAUAAAUCAAGUUAGUGUACAAUGUUAACAAUUGAAAAGAUUUUAAAAUAUUAUAAUUUAAUAUUAAUAUAAUAUUAAUAUAAUUUAAUAUUUGAAUGUAAUAUUAAUUAAGAUUA
ensembl:lncRNA